rnacentral:rRNA from 1 species
AGGGUUGUAAAGCACUUUCAACGGUGAAGAUAAUGACGGUAACCGUAGAAGAAGCCCCGGCUAACUUCGUGCCAGCAGCCGCGGUAAUACGAAGGGGGCUAGCGUUGUUCGGAAUUACUGGGCGUAAAGAGUACGUAGGCGGAUUAGAAAGUUAGGGGUGAAAUCCCGAGGCUCAACCUCGGAACUGCCUCUAAAACUCCUAAUCUUGAGUUCGAGAGAGGUGAGUGGAAUYCCGARUGUAGAGGUGAAAUUCGUAGAUAUUCGGAGGAACACCAGUGGCGAAGGCGGCUCACUGGCUCGAUACUAGACGCUGAG